AUUGUUAUUUCCAAUUCCCCUUAUACGUACAUAAAACUUAACACACCUAAAUUAUUUACUAUUUUAAUUUGACUAUUCAACAUUUUAAAAUUUUAAUUUUACUAUCUAACCUUUCAAUCUGUUUGAUUUGAGUUAGUCAACAAUAUUUUGACUUAAAAAUUUGAAUUCGUGGUUUAUUUUCACAAUUUUAGUUUAUAUAUUUGAUAUAAUUUCUGCAACUAUAAAUUUAUUAAAGUAAGUAAUUAGCUUAAAUUGUGAAGUUAAAGUAUCGUCCAUUGAUUCAAAUUAAAUAAAUUAAAAGGUUGAAUAAUAAAAUUAAAAUUUCGGAAGAUUUGUGGCCAAACGUUUU
rnacentral:lncRNA from 1 species